rnacentral:rRNA from 1 species
CUUAGAGUUUGAUNCCCUGGCUCAGAGCGAACGCUGGCGGCANGCUUAACACAUGCAAGUCGAACGGGCACUUCGGUGCUAGUGGCAGACGGGUGAGUAACACGUGGGAACGUACCUUUCGGUUCGGAAUAAUACAGGGAAACUUGUACUAAUACCGGAUACGCCCUUUGGGGGAAAGAUUUAUCGCCGAUUGAUCGGCCCGCGUCUGAUUAGCUAGUUGGUGAGGUAAUGGCUCACCAAGGCGACGAUCAGUAGCUGGUCUGAGAGGAUGAUCAGCCACACUGGGACUGAGACACGGCCCAGACUCCUACGGGAGGCAGCAGUGGGGAAUAUUGGACAAUGGGCGCAAGCCUGAUCCAGCCAUGCCGCGUGUGUGAUGAAGGCCUUAGGGGNGUAAAGCACUUUUGUCCNGGAAGAUAAUGNANGACCGGAAGNUNAGUCCCCUNUAC